rnacentral:lncRNA from 1 species
UUCUCAAUUCUCAAAAUACAGAGCAAAUUACUCUUGUUUAAUUUAGCAAAAAUGGUGUCUGCUACUGCUACAACUGUGAAGAAGACUUCUUCUGCUGCUGCUGCUGCUAAGAAACCCAGAUCUCAUCCUCCUUAUGCUGAGGUAUUUCUUGCUUAAUUGUUCUUUUUAAUUAGGUUAAACUAAAUUAGUUUUGAUUUUACAUUUUUUAUGAUUUGGGAUGUGAAUUUUGGUGUUUAAAGUGAUGGGGUUUGUGCAGAUGAUAAACAUAAGUAAAUUAUAAUGUUUAGUUCUUGAAUUAGGCAUGUAGAUUAUGAUGAAAAGCGAAUUGAAUUAGUUUGAUUUUGCUCGCAAAAUUUGUUUAAUUUACCCUUGAAUCAUGAAAUUCUAGGUUCAAAUUUUAUAAUUUGGGCCGUGGAUUUGAUGUAUUCAUAAACUAUAUAAUGAAAAACAACUGAAUUAGCUUUGAUUUCUCUCCAAAUUGUGAAAAUUUACACUUCUAGCAUGAAUUUCAACUUCAAAUUUUGUCAUUUGGGUUGUGAAUUUUUGGCUAAUGGUAAAUUAUAAUGAAAAAACCGAAUUACCUUUGGUUUUGCUCAAAUUUGUGUAAUAGACCACUGUAACAUGAAUUUUCAGUUCAGAUUUUACGAUUUCUGGUAUGAAAUUGAUGUAUUGGGAUUUGUGCAGAUGAUAACAGAAGCCAUAAAGGCGUUGAAGGAGCGAACUGGUUCAAGUCAAGUAGCCAUAGCCAAAUACAUUGAAGAAAAGCAUAAGGAUUUGCCUCCAAACUUCAGAAAACUCUUGCUUGUUCAACUAAAAAAGCUCGUCGCUUCUGGAAAACUCACUAAAGUCAAAGGCUCCUUCAAAGUCUCCCCCGUCGUCAAACCCACCACCGCCACCGCCACCAAUACCGCCGCAGAUAAACCAAAGAAGAAAACAACCACCACCGCUGCUGCUACCGGUUCUGCUAAGGCGAAAACAGCUGUACCAAAGAAGAAGAAGGUGACCAUGAAGAAGCCGAAAGCAUCAGCAGCAGCUGCUACACCAGUGAAGAAGACGGUAACUGCUCCGGCUAAAGCGAAGAAAACUCCAGUGAAGAAGACUCCGGCGAAGAAAGUUGCGAAGAAGCCAAAGAGCAUUAAGGCGAAGACAACACCUGCUGCUAAGAAAGCGAAGAAAUGAAG